rnacentral:rRNA from 1 species
AGUGAACGCUGGCGGUAGGCCUAACACAUGCAAGUCGAACGGCAGCACAGUAAGAGCUUGCUCUUACGGGUGGCGAGUGGCGGACGGGUGAGGAAUACAUCGGAAUCUACUUUUUCGUGGGGGAUAACGUAGGGAAACUUACGCUAAUACCGCAUACGACCUACGGGUGAAAGCAGGGGAUCUUCGCACCUUGCGCGAUUGAAUGAGCCGAUGUCGGAUUAGCUAGUUGGCGGGGUAAAGGCCCACCAAGGCGACGAUCCGUAGCUGGCCUGAGAGGAUGAUAAGCCACACUGGAACUGAGACACGGUCCAGACUCCUACGGGAGGCAGCAGUGGCGAAUAUUGGACAAUGGGCGCAAGCCUGAUCCAGCCAUACCGCGUGGGUUAAGAAGGCCUUCGGGUUGUAAAGCCCUUUUGUUGGGAAAGAAAAGCAGCAGGUUAAUACCCCGCUGUUCUGACGGUACCCAAAGAAUAAGCACCGGCUAACUUCGUG